rnacentral:SRP_RNA from 1 species
GUGCUUGACGCCUCGAUAUCCACAAACUAUUGCACCUCGCUUGGGUUCAGCGUUGACAUCGUUGCAACGACCAGAAGCAGCAGAA